rnacentral:sRNA from 1 species
UGACGAAAUUUAAAAGAAGAAUGGUCA